UCGGGAAUUUUGGGCAAUGGGCGAAAGCCUGACCCAGCAACGCCGCGUGAGGGAUGAAGUAUUUCGGUAUGUAAACCUCGAAAGAAUGGGAAGAAUAAAUGACGGUACCAUUUAUAAGCUCCGGCUAACUACGUGCCAGCAGCCGCGGUAAUACGUAGGGAGCAAGCGUUGUUCGGAUUUACUGGGCGUAAAGGGCGCGUAGGCGGCGCGGUAAGUCACUUGUGAAAUCUCUGAGCUUAACUCAGAACGGCCAAGUGAUACUGCUGUGCUAGAGUGCGGAAGAGGCCACCGGAAUUCUUGGUGUAGCGGUGAAAUGCGUAGAUAUCAAGAGGAACACCUGAGGCGACGGCGGGUUGCUGGGCCGACACUGACGCUGAUGCGCGAAAGCCAGG
rnacentral:rRNA from 1 species